AAUACCCCCUUUUUGAAAAUGAUCCAUCAUACUUGUCAAAAUAAUAAAAUUUAGCGUAAAGAUUACAACACAAAUCUGGUUAAAAAAUAACAAGAUUGUGAUGUUUGAAAUCAAUUUAUUUUUUUAAUUUGACUUGAAAUUAAUUUAUGUCUGUUUAUACUGUAUACUUGCAUUUCGGAUUUCUAUAUUGUAUUUUAAAAAGAUUUAUAGCAUGUUCAAAAGUUUUUAUUGGAAUUUAUCAAAAACUUACAAUUAUUAAAAUUUUCACGAUCGCUCGAGCCAGUUGCUUCAGGGACGGCCUGGAUCUGAGCUAGACCAAACACAUUACGCUGAUGGACUAGCACCACAGCGACUGAACCGCGAGCUUCUUUGGGCAGGAGAACAUCCUAACGGCUGUCAUCGGGAAGGCCUGCUCUUCGACUUCCUGGUGGUGAUGUUCAUCGUGAACCAGAUGCGCAGGAAAAGGACGAAGGUAUCUUCGUCCUGGACAAGCCGAAGCGUUCCCCGACGGCCAACACAUACGCCAAGAAUGCCAACCGGGAACCUGAUUUAUAACACUCGAUCGAAUCCAGCAGCUCGAUUGUAUCCAGUUGAGCAGCAGUGGAUGGAAAGGGUAGACGGCACGUUUUGGGUCGAAGCAUCUGGAACAGAAAUUUAAAAAAAGUUGAAGAAAAAAUGGAUGCUCUAAAAAAAGAUGUUUUUCCAGCCGUUUUUGAGAAGUUUUCGGGCUAGUUAGGAACUAUGAAACCUACCUUUAAAGCUGCUUUCAGCAUAAGUUUCUUCGCCUUAACUUUUUUGAUGACUUUUCUCGCUGUUGCACUCAGCAUAAAAACAACCCAAAAUUAAGAACGCCCGGGCAUCAAAACAAAGUUUAGCUGCUGUUCUUAAUUUUGGGCUGCUGUCAACACCCCAAAAUAAAAGUUCACAGCUUGAACUGACUGCCCCAAAAAUUUAUCGUUCGGAAUUUGUUGCGUUUCUUGUCGAUAUGCCGAUUUCUUUUGUCAAAAACUAAUUUUUUUCGGUUGAAAAAGGAGUGAAAAAUUAUUGCUACAUCAAUUGUUGGAAUUUGGAAAAGAUUGGAGGAAGUUGCAGCAACGGACCAACAAAUGGAACGGGGAUACCACAGAAAUAUAAAAGCUAUAGAGUUCGAAAAAAUUCACCUUGGGAAUUAUAGAUAACCCGAAUAGCAGGAACCAUGGUUUUACAUUCAUGUUCCAAUGAAUUCGAAGGUGACCAUGUAUUUCAUGGUAAAAAGUACAUCCUAAAGCUUUUAGUACAAAAAUUUACACAUUAUCAAUUUUUCGUGUACGGUUUUGACAGCCGCGGCAACUUUGUUUUGCACAAACGCAAUUUUCGGUCGGCAUAUUCGGCAUUAACAUUUUUCGAUAGGUUUUCGGCAAAUUAUUGAACCAUCUAGUGUCGAUAUGAUCAAAAAGCGACAUAAAUCCUUCACACAAGGCUUUGAAGAAGUGGAAGUCACUUAGCCGGAAUCGCGUGAUGCGAGUUUUAAAGCAUUCCAGCUGAUGAUCAACGGAAAGAUGGCAGCAUUCUCGUGUAUAGUGUUAAGUUUUAUUAUUAAGUGUUU